AUUAACGCUCUCUUCCUUUUAAUACACUUUGUAUUGAUACUAAAUAAGUGGCUAUGAGUUUAUGCUGUUAUUAUUAGUCUCUGUUAACAUGUCAAGUUAUUAAAUUUUAAUGCCACUGAUUGGCUUUAUUCACUUGAUUAUGGCAGCAAAAAUAUCAAAUGAUGAAAAAUUAAUUGCCACAAAAAGCAAAUUUUGUCUCUGAUUGACUUUUGCCCAUUUCAUUGUUUUGUAUCACAUUUUUACUGCCACUGGUUUUGUCUGCAAAUUAUCAUGUUAUUGUCACAAUUGUAAGCUUUAAUUGUGUUAAAUUGUGUUAACAAAUGUUAAUUUACUUCAAUUGGGUUGAACAAUUGAAAUCUUGCAAAUUGACAUGCUUUUGGGUAGUAAUUAAAAGAUGGUCCCUUAAAGUGCAACAUGCUGAUUGGUGAUUUGCUUUAAUAAAUUGGAGGGAAAAUUUGUCUCGCUUUUGCUACUUGUUAUUUGAUUGCGGUUUAAUCAGACGAUGUUUCUUCUGGUUAUUAGUUUUAUUGAUUAUUAUACCAGUUUAAUAUGUUAAGACUUUAUUUAUCAUCAUGUUCUCUAAUUGUUAUUGAUGUUGUUAAUAUUCUGUUGACAUUUUCAACAAUUGACAUUGCUAAUAUGGUUGGUUAACUUUGUGUCAGUGGAUAAUCAAAUGGAUCUCUCUCUUGGUUUCUCUGGUUUCUUUAUGUGAAGGCUUUUACUUUAACCUUACCAUUUGCUGGUUAAUUAGCUUUCAGUUGAUGUAAGAUGUGGUUUACAUCAAUUAAUGGUCCUUCAAAACUGAUGCCUGUUUUUACUGUUAAAUUUUCCAUUGUCAACUUAUUGGUGGAAACGAUCUUUUUUUGGAUAAAAUUAAAGGGAUAAACAGGUUUACGGUUCAUCCCAUCAUCAUUGCCAAUAUGUUACAAUCAUUAGUCUUGCUGAAGCCAAUGCUGAUUGACACAAAUUUCUAAUGGUAUCCUCUGCUGUUGACUGAUGAUCUAUUGAUACCAGAAAUCUAUCCCUUACCAGUCAUGGAUUCAUGUUGCUCUUCAUUCUUGUUUUUUUAUUCUGUUUGAUGUCCUGACCAUAAUCGUGAUGGCUUCAACUAGAUGAUUAGUUUUCAUUGAAGUGUUGACAGAAGAGGAUAAAGGUGCAUCAAUGGUGGAAGAAAAUAUGUAAGCAAAAAAGGUGGUGAAAACUAUUAUGAAAGGUAUACAUGGUGAUGAAAAUGAUGCCUAGCCGGAUAAUGAAAUAGCAUUUCUGGUGAUAACAACACUUUCUACAUUUAUUCAUCAGUUGAUCAUUAUAAUCACCAGUAUUUACGUUUAUGGCGCAAAAUAAUUCACAAAUGACAAGGUGAUAUCCAAUGAUUAAAACGUGGGAUAAAUGGAAAUUUCUGGCCACAAAUCUGGUCUGUUUAAUUUUACUGUUUCCAGUAGACUGAUAAAAACAAUCAAUCAAUUAUUAAUAUCGUGGAUUGUGUUUAUCGCAAGAUGUUGAAAACGUUUCCAUGUUCAUGAAAAAUAACAAUUGCUGAUUUGAAAUCAUUUCUGGCUGAUGAUUUUUUUAUCCUAAAUUUGGCUCAAUAGACUUUCACCUUCACCCUUCAUCUUUAUUCAAUUUGUUGACUUGGUUUACAGUAAAUUGUUAGCCUCACAAUCGACUUUUAUUUUUGUAUUUCCAUUGAAUAAUUUGGUAUUCAAUUGGAACCAAAACUGGCUUUUGGAUUGAUGUUUAUUUUCAACAAGGUCCAUUAAGCUCAUUGCUAUUGAUUCAAAUUAUAGAGAGAUGAGAAGGUUCAGUUUCUUAUUUAAUUGAGUUUCAAUGAGCCUGAUUACAAGAUUUUUAUCCUCGUCUUACAAGAAAAGGAAAUCAAAAUAGUCAAACAAGAGUAAAGUGAAACUAAUCAUUUCCUUAUAUUAUAUAUCGGAGAUGCAAUGAAGAUGCUGAUGCUGAUGAUUCCAAUAGAUGGUUACUAAUAGAUGUUGAAUGUUAUUACCUUUAAUUGGCUGUAUAAACGCAUCUCUUUUCAUCUGGUUGAUCAUUUUUCACCAAAAGAUAAUAGUUCUGCCCAUUUUGCAUCUUCUCUCAUUAACUGGCAAAAACAUUGAGACUUCAUUAAACAAUAAUAAUCCAACGGAAUACAGGAACACAAGAAAAUGAAUCAACAUUAUCCGUUCUAAUAAUAGAACCAAUAUUGGACAUGGAGCAUGAACUUUAGCCUUAUUGUCAGCAAAAGGCAGAUAAUCAUUGAUAAUUGGUGAUUAUCAAUUUGAGACUAUUGUUAAACGAUGUCCAUAACCAAGUUUAUUAAAUCCUUUCAAGAUGAACUGCAAAGCAAAGCGAAACAAUCGUCACCAUAACAAUCAAAGCAAUUAUAGCUCAAGAAUCAGACCAAUUUUCAACAAAUUGUCACCAUUUUAUCUCGCUUUUAGUAGACAUCAUUAAAUUGUGAAAAAGGUUGCCAUUGAUGUUCACUUUAAAUCCUCUAUUAACCUUUUACUUUGUGCACAUGAAAUCUCUUCCAUUAUCCAUCCAAACCGAGUCACAAAUCAAUAAUAUUUAAACGCAAUUUCAAUCAUUUCACUGUCGAUUUUCAACUCUAAAUGUUAUACAACAAUAAUAGUGCAAGAUGUUAACUAUCGGUGAAAAUAGGUAAAGAAAAACAGAAAUGAAUUAAAGUAAAGGCCAAGAAAAUGCCUCAAGUAGUUUAUACCAAAAAAUCUUAACUUUUCUCCUUAUUUUUCUAGCUUUUUUACAUUCUCCUCAUCUUCAUCAUUUCGAUAAGUUUGCUUUUUUGUUGAGAAUAGAAGGGAAAGUUAACUUUCUCUCAGGCUGUGAUUGCUCCUACUUUUUUUCCAUUAGCUUAAUCUGAUUUCUUGGUGAAAGUGGAACUUUGAAACUUGAAUCAUUCCUAUUGACUUUUUCACCUUCAUCUCUUGUCCACUGACCACACUGGUAGCAACAUAUUACCAUCCAGUAACAGAUGAACAGUUUGAACAAAAAAAGAAGCAUCAAUUGAAAUUGUUGUGUCACAAAUGGCUUCUGUUUGCGCAUUGAAUUACAAGUUAAAGGAUGAAACUAUUAUUACAAACUAGCGCUCAACUAAUAUUAUUAUCAUUUUGUAGCCUAAAGGUUUGAAAGGUAAAACUAAGCACAAAAUAAAAUAUAAUACUGAUGCUAACAAUGUUCAAGUUUACUUAAGUUAACUUGACUAUUAUCAAUUUACUCUGUAAAUAACAAAGCAACACAAAUACUAAUCAAUCAACUAAUUGGUAAACUUUCAUUAUUUCAAUGUGACAACAUUAAUCCAAUCUUGAAAUAAAUAAAUUGACAAUAUCAU